GACGAACGCUGGCGGCGUGCUUAACACAUGCAAGUCGAACGAAGAGCGAUGGAAGCUUGCUUCUAUCAAUCUUAGUGGCGAACGGGUGAGUAACGCGUAAUCAACCUGCCCUUCAGAGGGGGACAACAGUUGGAAACGACUGCUAAUGCCGCAUACGAUCUGACCUCGGCAUCGAGGAUAGAUGAAAGGUGCCUCUAUUUAUAAGCUAUCACUGAAGGAGGGGAUUGCGUCUGAUUAGCUAGUUGGAGGGGUAACGGCCCACCAAGGCGAUGAUCAGUAGCCGGUCUGAGAGGAUGAACGGCCACAUUGGGACUGAGACACGGCCCAGACUCCUACGGGAGGCAGCAGUGGGGAAUCUUCCGCAAUGGACGAAAGUCUGACGGAGCAACGCCGCGUGAGUGAUGACGGCCUUCGGGUUGUAAAGCUCUGUUAAUCGGGACGAAAGGCCUUCUUGCGAAUAGUUAGAAGGAUUGACGGUACCGGAAUAGAAAGCCACGGCUAACUACGUG
rnacentral:rRNA from 1 species